UGCGGUGAGCCUGUCAUCGUUCAGAGAGGCCAGGUCCUCCUUGUCCAGAAGGAUCAUGAUGGGCUCCUCGGUGU
rnacentral:pre_miRNA from 1 species